ensembl:lncRNA
ACUCCAGCUGUGUAGCAGCCUUUCUCUCAGGUCAGGCCGGGAGAAGAAGGGAGCCGCCACGUUGCCAUGGAAGCUUAGGUGGAGGAGAGGGGGCAGGCAGUGUAGACCAUGAGAUGGAGAGGGAGCCGCCCUGUAGACGAUGAGAUGCUUGGUACCUUGCUGGAUGGGCGCUCAUGAGCAGGCCCUCUCGGGAGAGGGCUGCCAUAGUGAACACUCCAGAAACAAGAGUUUUAGAGCCAGAAGGAAUCUCUGAGGUCCUUGGGGCCAGUGAGUUCAUUAUUCAGAGGAGAAAGCUGAGGCCUUGGGGUGGCGCAAGGGUCUGCUUGGCGCUCAGCAGCAGUUCUGAGACAGGAACCCGGAUCUCCGUGGCAUUCUAUCCAAUAGGGGCCUGGUCGGUUUCAGGAUAGAAGUAGGCGCUGCCCGGGUGCUGGGGUUUGGGGCAUGUGCCCUUUCCUCCCUGGGAUUCUGCCUUUAGCACUGCCUUUUGGAGCACGUUGGGGAUUAGCAAACGUUUAUUGCCAAAGAACCCUUUCUUCUAAGAAACCCUUCCACAGGACAGAAAAGGGCAGGGGCGCUUUGGUUCAGUGGUCUGUGGAGGGAUGGAUGGAAGGCCCAGAGUUUACCUGUUCGGCCUCCCCAGUUCUCCAAGGAGGCCCUCAGACGUCUCUCCAGCGCCAUUAGGGCCCCAUGGGAUACACUGAGAAAGCAGUUAAGAUUCCUGUUACCAGGCCGAAUAAUUGAUGAAGACAUUCCCAGCUCUACACCCAAGCGUGGAUAUGUUUGUCAGCGUAAUUGAAAGCAGAGACCCGGACGAUGGAAGAAUGGGCUUCCCAACAGGACAGUUUUCAUUAGGAGACGCUCAGAGAGAGAAGGAGAUGUUUGCGACGUGGGAAGGGCAAGUUCAGCCAGCGAGACCAGAGCAAGUCUGAUAUAUACGCUCUGGUUGCCCAGUGGCCUCACCCGGAGAAUACACACCCUGCGCCUCUCCCUCAGCCCGCGUGCUUGUCCGCACGUCCCAGGGGCUGCAGUUCCCGGAAGAAUGAUAGCAUUAAGCUUUCCUGUCAGAGGCCACGCCCUCAGCUCAUGCUGAGACUGACAUUCGAGUAGCACUUGAGGCCGGCUGGUUCUCCCAGCACCCCGUGAGAUGCUGUUACUAUUAUUAUUUCUCCCAGGGGCACGGAUGCCUGGCGGUCAAGGCCCUCAGCAGGGCCCAGCCGGGGGGUGGAUUCCAGGAACUCUGUCCCGGCAGCUGGUGUUGUCCACACAGGGCUCAGAACUGCACCCCAUUUUAAAUUCUAGGGGAACGGACCAAUGGGCGGAGUCACCAGAAGCCAGAUGUUUUCUCCCGGUUUUAUAUCCGCCAUUAAUUUUUCAAGAUGUUUUUGUUUACUGAGGUAUCAUUUUCAUACGGUAAAAUUCUCCUGUUUUAGGUCUACACUUCCAUGAAUUUUUUAAAAUGGAUUUAUUGAAGUAUUGCUUGCAUACAACAGACCACAUAGUUCAGGCGUGUACUUUGGAAAGUUUUGACCUGUGAGUAGACCCAUGAAACCAUCACCAAAGUCAAGAGGGUGAGCACAGCUGUCGCCCACAGAAGCUUCCUCAUGCCCCAGGGUGACCCCUCUAGCUCUGCCCUCCCCACCUCCCCUCUCUUUCUGUCACUGUGGAUUUACACUUUCCAUAGUUCGAUAUAAAUGGAAUCUCGUUGUGUUUGUACUUUCUGGCUGACUUCUCUCGUUCAGGAUAAUCACUGGAGGUUCAUGGGUGUUGUCGGACGUAUGGAUAGGUCAUUCUCUUUGUUGCCGAGGCCGUGCCGUCUUACGAACAGACCAGAGUGUGUUCCCCUGUUGAUGGGCAUCUGGGCUGUUUCCGGUUCUGGGCUCUUUAAGUAAAAAGUCACUGUGCAAGUUUGUGUACUAGUCUUUUGUUUGGGCACAUGCUUUCUUUCCUCUUGGGUAAAUACCUAGGAAUAGAGUGAUUUCAGCAGGCGGUAAGUGCAUGUUUAACUUUUUGAAGAAGUAGCCGAGCUGAUCUCCGAAGUGGCUGUUCCAGACUGGUGGUUGCCAAGGGGGAGGAGGUUGGGGGAGGGAUGGAGUGGGAGGUUGAGGUGAGCAGAUGUAAGUUUUUAUAUAUAGAAUGGAUAAACAACAGGGUCCUACUCUCUGGCACAGAACUAUAUCCAAUAUCCUAUGAUAAACCAUAAUGGAAAAGAAUACGGAAAAAGAAUGUAGGUGUAUGUAUAACUGAAUCACUUUGCUGUAGAGCAGAAAUUAACACAACAUUGUAAAUCACUUCUACUUCGAUAGAGAAGAGGUGGCUGUUCCGUUUUACACGCCAUCAGCAGCGUUUGAAGGUCUCAGUCCCUGCACCCCACCACUAACGCUGGUGUGCUCAGUGCUUGUCAUUUUAGCUCCUGUGAUAGGUACACAGUGGUAUCUCGUUGCAUUUCCAACUUGCAUUUUCCUAACAGCUAAUGACAUCGAGUACCUUUCGUGUGCUUACCUGCCAGACUUGUAUCUUCUUUGGUGAAGUGUCCGUUCAUAACUCUUGCCCAUUUUACAAUUGAGUUGUUUUCCUAAUGCUGCAUUUUGAGAAAUCUUUGUAUAUCCCAGGUACUAGUUCUUGAGUAGAUACGUGCUUUGCAACUAUUUUAUCUCAGUCUUUGACUUGUCGCCUCUCUCUUAUCUUUGUCAGAAACCAGUUUCCAUCUAUGUGUGGACCUGUUUCUGGCUCCUCUAUUCUGUUUUAUGGACCCGUUUGUCUUUACACCAAGAGCACACUGUUUUGAUUACUAUAGCUUUACGGUAAGUCUUGAAAUCAAGUAUGUUAGUUACCCAAAGGGUAACUUUGUUCUUCUUUUAUCAGAGUUGUUUGGAUUAUUCUAGGUCUUUUGCAUUUCCAUAUGAAUUUUAGAAUCAGCUUGCCAAUUUC